AAUCAAUCUACCAUCUCGAUUGACUGGUGGAUCUCACCAUGGUAGGCUGGGAUUAAACAACAGAGGAGCACGUGACCCUCCCCACCUCAAGCCGGUGCUCUCCAAGGUGCUUGGCUCACAGACAGGAGUCCAGUCCUUCUCGAAAGAAUGGCCCGAGAAAGGACCUGGAAAUGGUCCAGCACUGAUUCUAGGACCGAGAUGAACCUGUGGUCACCCACGCUGGCCUCAUGGCAGCCAGGCCCCCCUGCCCAUUUCCUCAGAUUACUCACUGACUCCAGCAUCGAGGCGCCGGUAGGGUCGUGAAGGCUGCACAACCUCACCUGAGAUUCUGUCCUGGAGUGGAAGAGAACAGAACAGAUGGACAAUUCAGAUAGAUCCUCUGCCCUCAAGCAAGCCUGGUUCGUUAAACCAGUAGAAUUAUUUUGUUUGUAAAAUCAGUCAGGAAGCAUGGAAGGAAGUAUAGAAAAAGAGGAGACAAGAGAAGCAUUCCAGAGGAGAAAACUGAAGCUGAGACAGGGCCGUCACAUGGCUUGUAAACACCGAGUCCAGGUCCUCUCCAUUCACCUGGCUCCUCUGACCAACUGAACUGCAUCAAGUCAGCUGUUGGGGUGAUGCUAGGUGGUUCCUUAAAAAGGCACUUCUGCCACGGUAACCAGAGCUGGCCCUUAGCAAGCACAGUCAGGCAAACUCACCUACAAGAUGCACAGCUACUGAGUAGUUGAGUAAGGAUCCUUAUUCAGGGAGCCCAGCUCUGGCAAAGACUCGUAACCCAGCACAGGGCACGCUGAAGUUGAGUGGAAAGGCAAAGCAAGCUGCCUGCCGAUGUUCAGUCUGGGAGGAAUGAAGGGGGAUGAGAACAGUCUUCCUUCAUCUGCCUGCCUCUGCUCCUCUCCAGCCCUCUCAGUGAGAGGCAUCCGAAGAGAACCACUGUUGUGAUUUCGAUCUUGACUAUUUUCCCCAGCUCCAGUGUUCAAAAGGCUUGGCCACCAGCCUGAGAUGCUACCAGGAAGUGAUAGAAGCCUCACCAGCGAAGUUAGCUCCCUGAGGGUCUGCUCUCUCGAAUGGGAUGUUAGGACUCCAGGCUUGCCCUCUCUAUCUCUUUCUCCUUCCAGGUCACCAUAAGGCCAGCUGCUUUUUUCCACCCAUGACAUUUUGCCACGCUAGAGGCCUAAAGAGAGUCAGCCAGGCAACCAUGAACUGAAACUGUGAGUCAAAUGAAUCUUUCCCCAGGUAAGGAAUUCGCGUGGGUAUUUUGUUACAAUGACGGAAAGCUGACAGACAGUCACCCUCCAUCUGAGCUCUGGGUAUCACAUCUCAUGCUUCUAUACAAAUGAAAACCUGUGUUCUACUCUGAUUGAUGAGAAAAUGGCAGAGAGUGGCUGAGGGGACAAAGGGACUUAAUGGACCAUUUUGCUUAAUGAAGGCACCAUCUGGGCAGAUUAUUCUGGGUGAAGAGGAAGAAAAAAUGUAAACUUCUCCAAAACAAACAAACAAACAAAACCCCAAACCAAAAGGGAUUCACCGCGAUGAGCCUGGCAGCAGAGACUGAGGAGGGUCUUGAUUACAUGGUUGAUUAAGUCAGGAACACAAGUAGUACAGAGACCUGUAGGGAGAAUGUAAAGUCUCCAGUCGGUGUGUGCUGUCUGAUACAAGCAGGGCCAGACCUAUGGGAGUGACAAAGUCUUCCCUCCCCACAGGGUGAAGCUCAGAGGGGUGAUAAAGCCUCCUCGGGUCUAGGUGCGAAUGUUGACGAAGUCUACAGAAAAUGUCCUCCAUUGUUUUCUCUCCUCAGAGGUCAUGACCUGAAGACAAUUCCUCAGCAGAAACAGAUCCUACCGAGAUUAGCCAAACCCGUCUCCUUGAUCAGCUGUGUAUAAUAACUCUCCCUACUUGUUCUUAGCUUUGUAAUAACUUCUCCUUGUUCAACUGUAUACAUUACCCCUGCUUCUCUGUUUAAUUGCAUGUAAUAAGCAUGUUGAGCUUUUGGGUGCUAUGGCUUCUCCAUCCAAUAGCCUAGCCUACCCGCUCCCAAUGUUUCUAUGUCCAUGUGAUGGUGUGUGUGUUUUUUUCUUCAUUCCCUCCCCACUCUGGUUAGGUCAAUCCCUGGAGCCAUGCAGACCACAGCAGAGACCAGAGAAAAUUCUUUGAGGGCUACAAUGGCCAAGAGAUUUUAAGAAAAGGACUCCUAUCCACCCUGUGGCUUUCUGCCAUGAGCCAUCAUGCUGUUUCUGUCCCAUCAGCUAGAUGGUGUCUUCAAUGGGCCCUUCAAGAAGAGAAAGACAUGAAUCCCUGCGUGUGAACUCAAGGAUGUGACUAGCAAAUACCACCUCCUGCUGAUGCCUGCAACACCAGAUUUGCCGCUGAGUCCAGACCUCCUGUCCCUCAGUCACCUGAGGAGCAUGCCUGCUGGUGAAUGAGGCGGGGAGACCCUGACCUCAGCGUGGCCACACAGACUGAAGGUCACCAUCACCAUGUCAAGCCUAAGGUUGAAUAUCCUCAUGGACCAUCAUCUAUGGACUCUCAGGAUCCGUCUAUGGACACGGAAGAACCUAUGGACCCUGGUUUGAGAAACUUGGCUGACAGCUUUUCCUUCUGGGAUCUGCCACCGAACCCGGCUCUUGCAGCUGAAGCCUCACCUGUGUGGGCUCACCUCUCAUGGCGAUGGGCCGUACCCACCUGCUCUCCCUCCCCAGCUGUUCUUGGCACCUCCUCCCCUUGGUGCCGCCACCCACACAAGGUUUCCGGCUCCCGAGGAACUCACCCUCUGCUGUGCAGGCUGGGACCCACCCUGGCCUCACCCUGCCCUCCCCUUUCAGCUCCACGGACUUCUGCUCCGGUGAGUCCCCAGCCCGUUGCGAGCCAGAGACUCAAAGCACUGAGUUAUUCUAAUCCUGGGGCCUUAGAAGCAAAAUCUGAUUUUUUUUUUUUAAUUUCUAGUUUUAAAAACAAACCAAAUAAGAACACUGCCUCUGAGGUCUGAACAAUGCCUUUCUCUGGGGCUUGUCUUCAGUUCUUUACUUCUCAAAUCCCACCCCAUCCCACCCUAACAUGAGGGUACCCAAAUCUUUACCAAUUAGUGGAGAUGGCACUUGUACCUAAAUGCUUUUGUCCUCACUGAAAACCCUUGUCAGUGUUGGGCCCCUUCUGCCCUGCUCCAUCCUAGGUGGGUUGAUUGUUACUAAUGGUAGUUUGCCUCUCUCACAGUAGAGACACCUUGAGCAACGAGCCCCUGAUUGCCUCCCCAACCUUCCCACAUCUUUCUCAACUUCGGUCACACCUGAGCCAACUCUACCUUGAGUCUGCCUGAAGUGGCUUCCCUGAGCCAACGUCUCUGCAUGACCUGUGUGUCCUCUCUGGAAGGACCAUGUCCUUGCACAUUGGACCUGCCAAUCAUAAUAGUGACAAACAGUACCCAGGUUUCUAGAGCUCCUUACAUGCUGUCAGUUACUUCUGCUCAUCUGAUCCUACCACAUUCUUGGGAAUUGUUUGUGUUUGCAUAAUCUUUUAUUGAU